rnacentral:rRNA from 1 species
GACGAACGCUGGCGGCGUGCUUAACACAUGCAAGUCGAACGAAGUGGCGAACGGGUGAGUAACGCGUAAUCAACCUGCCCUUCAGAGGGGUACAACAGUUGGAAACGACUGCUAAUACCGCAUACUGAAGGUGGGGAGUUCGUGGGAUUAGCUAGGUGGAGGGGUAACGGCCCACCAAGGCGAAGAUCAGGAGCCGGUCUGGGAGGAUGAACGGCCACAUCGGGACUGGGACACGGCCCAGACUCCCACGGGGGGCAGCAGUGGGGGAUCUUCCGAAAUGGAGGAAAGUCUGACGGAGCAACGCCGCGGGAGUGAUGACAGGCUUCGGGUUGUAAAGCUCUGUUAAUCGGGACGCGGUACCGGAAUAGAAAGCCACGGCUAACUACGUGCCAGCAGCCGCGGUAAUUC